ACCAUACACGCCUAACAUCGACUUAGGUAUUCUACCAAGAUACUCGAUCAGUUAAAACGCGACCUUCAACGCAUACGCAGAUUAACAACAUACACUCGCAAGAUUUUGAUUCCAUUGAAGUUUAAAGAGAUGAAGACUCUGACAGUGUUUUUUCUUGGCUUCCUGGCUGUCGUCGUGUUGAUGGCAAGUACUACGCAUGCGCGGAGGUACUGCAUGCACAGUGUUAGAGAAAUUGAUCUAUUUCUUCAGUACAACUGCCAGAAUGCCCUUGUUUUACACAACAGAUCUGUUCCUCAAAGAAAGAGAGCCAGCAAAUUCCAAUCAAAGAGAAACGGCUGUCGACCAAUGACAAUCCAGGAUUACGUAACCUUCCACGAGGAGUGCUGCGAGCGAGACAUUGGCUGUAGUGACCAGGAGGUAACGAGCUUCUGCUGUCUACAAUAAGCGCGGGCUCAACGUCGAUUCACGUCAAGCUCCAUUCACCUGAAAAAACAACACAACAAGAUGCAUAUAGCUGCAUUUGUUAGUUAGUCUUUAAAGAAAUCUCUAUAUAAAACAAAUCGUUUCAGAUGGAAAAAUGAUGGCUUUAAUUGUCUACAAAACGCGCGCACGCAAUGCUGACUUGUUCUUUAUUAACUUUGUCCCUCUUUUCAUCUUAAUAUCUAGGUAAUAAUAUCAAAAGUACAAAUAAAUUGAAAUUAAAGUUUCUUGAACAGUU